AUGCGCUUCAUGCUUUUCUAUUAUGACUUAGUCUUGCAAGUUUUUUUUUCCGAUUUGCACCUCUUUAGGAAUUGUGGGAAAGAUGUAUACGCUUGUGAACUUAGAAGCCUGAAGCUGAAGUUUUUAGAUGUCAUUUCGCCCCCAGUAUUUACUGGAACUCGCAUAGAAGGAGAGGAAUCUAGUUUGAAAGUAGCCCUGGUUGAUGCUCAUACUGGACAAGUUGUCUCAAGUGGUCCUGAAUCCUGUGCAAAAGUCGAAAUAGUAGUACUCGAGGGAGAUUUUGAUGGGGAUGAUGGGGACAAUUGGACUGCAGAAGAAUUCAAGAUAACAUUGUGAGAGAAAGGGAAGGAAAGAAACCUCUCCUUGCUGGGGGAUGCAUUUUUGUAUCUCAAGGAGGGCAUUGGUUAGGGUGAGUGAUAUUUCAUUUACUGAUAACUCAAGCUGGACAAGAAGCCGUAAAUUCAGGCUAGGGGCGAGGCUUGCUGAUAGCUUUGAAGGAAUCAGUGUGCAAGAGGCAAAGACGGAAUCCUUCAUUGUCAGGGAUCACCGCGGCGAGUUGUACAAGAAGCACCAUCCUCCUUCUCUUUCAGAUGAAGUAUGGAGACUGGAAAAGAUUGGCAAGGAAGGAGCUUUCCAUCGACGUUUGAGCAAGGAAAGAGUCAACACAGUGAAAGAUUUUCUGACUCUCCUCUAUCUAGAUCCUACAAGGCUUCGGAAUGUUCUUGGGACAGGUAUGUCCACCAAAAUGUGGGAAGUCACGGUAGAACAUGCUCAAACAUGCUUACUUGACAAGAAAGUGUACUUGUACUACUCAUCUGGAUCUGUACAAAAAACUGGUGUGGUUUUUAACAUCGUUGGACAAGUGAUGGGGCUUCUUCCAGAGUGUCAGUUUGUUUCUGCUGAUAAGUUGUCCGAAACUCAAAAGGAUGAUGCUCGUAAUUUGGUGAUUUGUGCGUUCAGACACUGGGAAGAAGUAGUCUCUUUUGAGGAUGAGUCUUCUCUUAUGGAUUGGGUUAUGCAAAUUUCCGCUGUUCAAAUCUCCUCAAACUCAUCCAUGAUGGGCAGUUCAGAUGCCAAUGACAAUGUUUUAACUUCCCAGAAGAUUAGCAGAACCGACUAUCAGCAUUUAAGUGCAUCAACACCUGAUAUCAUGCCAUCCUUCUGUUCAAUUGCUGGUUUCAGCAGCUUGGAUGAUUAUGUCUUGCAUGGUAUAGACAACAUGGAUGUUAGGUUUGACCAACCGUUAAAUUUUCCCGGUCAAGACGCCGACUCCUUGAUGGCUGAUACUGAUUCUAUAACUCCACCAUUUUGUGAGGGUGAUCAUCUGCCUUUCUUCGACACUGACUAUUCCCUUCCCAGUCCAAACUUUGCACCAUCACCUGAUCUACAGUGUGCUGUCAACAGCUUUCUUGCUCGUAGUUCAAUUCUUCCCCCAGAUAAAGCUCAACGAAGAUGGAAGAUGCUAUUUAGUGUUCUAAGGUGGUUUUCAGUAAGGAGGAUUGUAAACAGAAGAACCAUCAUAUCUUGAACAGAAGUUCUCACUAUGCUGAGGCAAAAGAAUCUGUAGUAAAUUGCUGCCCGGUGCAAAAUUGUGUGCAGUAGUAGAGUCACUUAAAUUUCUUGUGGACAUAUGUGAAAUUGGGCAGUUAGCGC